AACGAACGCUGGCGGCAUGCCUAACACAUGCAAGUCGAACGAGACCUUCGGGUCUAGUGGCGCACGGGUGCGUAACGCGUGGGAAUCUGCCCUUGGGUUCGGAAUAACAGUGAGAAAUUACUGCUAAUACCGGAUGAUGUCUUCGGACCAAAGAUUUAUCGCCCAGGGAUGAGCCCGCGUAGGAUUAGCUAGUUGGUGGGGUAAUGGCCUACCAAGGCGACGAUCCUUAGCUGGUCUGAGAGGAUGAUCAGCCACACUGGGACUGAGACACGGCCCAGACUCCUACGGGAGGCAGCAGAGGGGAAUAUUGGACAAUGGGCGCAAGCCUGAUCCAGCAAUGCCGCGUGAGUGAUGAAGGCCUUAGGGUUGUAAAGCUCUUUUACCCGGGAUGAUAAUGACAGUACCGGGAGAAUAAGCUCCGGCUAACUCCGUG
rnacentral:rRNA from 1 species